rnacentral:rRNA from 1 species
AUUGAACGCUGGCGGCACGCCUUACACAUGCAAGUCGAACGGCAGCACGGGGGCAACCCUGGUGGCGAGUGGCGAACGGGUGAGUAAUACAUCGGAACGUAUCCUGUGGUGGGGGAUAACUAGUCGAAAGAUUAGCUAAUACCGCAUAAGCUCGGGAGAGGAAAGCAGGGGACCUGAAAGGGCCUUGCGCGAUUGGAGCGGCCGAUGUCCGAUUAGCUAGUUGGUGGGGUAAAGGCCUACCAAGGCGACGAUCGGUAGCUGGUCUGAGAGGAUGAUCAGCCACACUGGGACUGAGACACGGCCCAGACUCCUACGGGAGGCAGCAGUGGGGAAUUUUGGACAAUGGGGGCGAACCCUGAUCCAGCCAUGCCGCGUGAGUGAAGAA